UGGAGAUCCUGGAGCUGUACUGUGAC
rnacentral:piRNA from 1 species